rnacentral:rRNA from 1 species
GGAAGCAGGGGAUCGCAAGACCUCGCGCUCAUGGAGCGGCCGAUGUCGGAUUAGCUAGUUGGCGGGGUAACGGCCCACCAAGGCGACGAUCCGUAGCUGGUCUGAGAGGAUGAUCAGCCACACUGGGACUGAGACACGGCCCAGACUCCUACGGGAGGCAGCAGUGGGGAAUUUUGGACAAUGGGGGCAACCCUGAUCCAGCCAUGCCGCGUGAGUGAAGAAGGCCUUCGGGUUGUAAAGCUCUUUCGGCCGGAACGAAAUCGGGCGCGUGAAUAACGCGCCUGGAUGACGGUACUGGAAGAAGAAGCACCGGCUAACUGCGUGCCAGCAGCCGCGGUAAUACGUAGGGUGCGAGCGUUAAUCGGAAUUACUGGGCGUAAAGCGUGCGUAGGCGGUUUCGCAAGUCAGAUGUGAAAUCCCCGGGCUUAACCUGGGAACUGCGUUUGAAACUACAAAGCUAGA